GGGCGGGUAGCUCAAUGGGAGAGCAUCGCGUUUGCAACGCGAGGGUUGGGGGUUCGAAUCCCCUCCCGUCCACCA
rnacentral:tRNA from 1 species